AACGAACGCUGGCGGCAGGCCUAACACAUGCAAGUCGAGCGCACCUUCGGGUGAGCGGCGGACGGGUGAGUAACGCGUGGGAACGUACCCUUCUCUGCGGAAUAGCCUCGGGAAACUGAGAGUAAUACCGCAUACGCCCUUCGGGGGAAAGAUUUAUCGGGGAAGGAUCGGCCCGCGUUAGAUUAGGUAGUUGGUGGGGUAAUGGCCUACCAAGCCUACGAUCUAUAGCUGGUUUGAGAGGAUGAUCAGCCACACUGGGACUGAGACACGGCCCAG
rnacentral:rRNA from 1 species